CCUACGGGAGGCAGCAGUGGGGAAUAUUGGACAAUGGGCGAAAGCCUGAUCCAGCAAUGCCGCGUGAGUGAUGAAGGCCUUCGGGUCGUAAAGCUCUUUUACCAGGGAUGAUAAUGACAGUACCUGGAGAAUAAGCUCCGGCUAACUCCGUGCCAGCAGCCGCGGUAAUACGGAGGGAGCUAGCGUUGUUCGGAAUUACUGGGCGUAAAGAGUACGUAGGCGGUUAUUCAAGUCAGAGGUGAAAGCCCGGGGCUCAACCCCGGAACUGCCUUUGAAACUAGAUAACUAGAGUCUUGGAGAGGUUAGUGGAAUUCCGAGUGUAGAGGUGAAAUUCGUAGAUAUUCGGAAGAACACCAGUGGCGAAGGCGACUAACUGGACAAGUACUGACGCUGAGGUACGAAAGCGUGGGGAGCAAACAGGAUUAGAUACCCUGGUAGUCCACGCCGUAAACGAUGAUAACUAGUUGUUCGGUCACUUGGUGACUGAGUGACGCAGCUAACGCAUUAAGUUAUCCGCCUGGGGAGUACGGUCGCAAGAUUAAACUCAAGGAAUUGACGG
rnacentral:rRNA from 1 species